GGAGGAAUAGGGAUUCGAUUAGGUUCGUGAUUGCGUGACAUGAAAAGAUAACCAAAUUGUCGGUAAGAGUCUAUUUAAAUUCUUUUGAAUUAAUAGAUCACCAACAUGGUAAUCGUUCCAUGUUUCGCGCACCAAUAUAGACAAUAUAGUAAACGUUAUGUAAUGGAUAUUAUAGUGUACUGAAAAGUUAACUGGAUACCUUCAACUUAUAUUGGUGCGCGAAACAUGGAACGAUAACCGGUUUUUCUAUGGGUUUUUCCUUCGCCUCGCGCCGUUCUAAGAAACCGAGGUUGGUUCAGUUUUAAGGACCGAGAUUGGUUCAUGGCAUACGUAAAAUGCGUGUUUGAGUGAUUGAAGUUGUACCAUGCCCGCAUUCGCCUAUUCCUGGCAUUCCCGUUCCCAUCACGAAGAAGAGUCUUCUUUAAAAGAAGACCCUGGGAAGAGGUAGAGGUUGUCCCGUUCCCUAUUUUAAAGAUGGCCCGGACCCCCUGUCAUUUUAAAAUAGCUCGGAAUUUGUCGACUUGCAUCGUACGGUGACGAGUCACGACGGAGUGCCGGGCAUUUCCGAAUUUUAAUUUUUUUUACCGCGUGGCGAAGAAAGGUGGAGAAGCAAGGAAGAAAAAAUGGAGGACAUUUAUCAAACUUUAAUACCUUUAUUGGAAGGUAAUAUGCUUUAUUUAAUACCAAUCCUUGUAGUAGAGUACUUAGAUUGCUAAUAUAGAUGAAAAUUUAGGACAUCCAGCUCGAAUUUAAUGCGAUAUGUCGGCAUAAAAUUUGUGCUUUUGCUUUGCACGUGGUUGAUGGAACGUUCGCUUUUAAUUAAUAUGGAAUUAAAGUUAUUAAACCGUGUUUUAACUCAUAAUUAUUGUCCAUCAAGUGAGUAAAAAGACUACUAAGAUCCAGAAUUGUAUAUUAUAAGUUGUUCAAAAAUAGUUGUUAUCUCUGAGUUCUUGCCGAAAAUUUUUAUGUAUUAUAAAAAUGCCGUAUACAGAGACGAGGUGCUUGGUGGGACGUCAAAUAUUUCUAUUUCAUCAGCUUGCACAUUUCAAUUUUGCGACAAAAUAUUUUAACAAUAUGGUGUUUUUGUUCAUUUAUACUCAGAAAAAGCGUUGCUUUAGCAACAUUAAUACAACAUAUUUGAUUCUUGCUUGCAAAACAAAAUUGCUACAGUAAGGCAAAAUGCAGAAUUGUAUUUCUUAACAUCACUGCAGGCUGGUAGUGAAAAGUUAGGAGGUGCUUUGAUAGUGAAAAGUUAGGAGAUGCGGUCAUAGGUUAGGUGAGGCUUCUCGGUAAGCAGGCUGGUAAGAUUAAUAUACGUUCUUAGGCUGAGUGUGGUUUGAAAAGAAGAUUGUUCUUUUGAAGCACAUCUACUGCAGGCUCAAAAUAUGGAUCAGUAGCAGUGUAAAGCCUUUUUUCGACAUACGCUGACAAGGAUUAAGAGAAUGUUAGAAAAUAAAAAGGACAGUAUCUGUUUAAUUUAAAAGCAUAUUAAUUAACUUGAUUUACCGGUACAGCAGAUGCCUGGAGUCGAAAUGAAGUUGAAAAAAAUUCCAAUCAAAUUUUAACAUUUCCAAUUGGUCGGCAUUUUUCUGAUGUUCAAAGAACACUACAAAAAUAUUCGGUUCAGGUUUCAUAUCCUAAAAAAAGUAGGAUAGGUAGGUCCAAACAAAACAAAUUUUCUUCAAAUAUCUUUUGGCUUGCCAUUGGUCAGCAAUUGCUGUGAUCAAACAGAGCCGAGAAAAUAAGGUUUGCUGGAAAACCGGAACCACAGGAUAUUGUUUUGUUUCAGACACUGAUGUUCAUAUUGAGGUUUUCAUCUCGCUAACCAAGCUAUUCACACCCUCAGGAAGUUCUCAUAAUUUUGUAGAUGUAUAAUACAAGUUCCAAGAAUGUUGCAAGAGCUCUUGAUGAUUAUGAAAAAUGGACACAUUCCACGAUCCUGAAUAAGAGGUAAAUUAUUUUUCUUCUAAUUAUUUCUAACCUUCUCCUUGUAUUUCUUGGAUAAUUGUGUUUGUAAUUAUUAAUUUGUUUCAUGUUAUCAAUAGUGAGUUUUUUACAUUUUCUAGAUGUGUGUUGCAAUUUCAAAGAAUGUCUGAAGUUGUUGGUUGAAGUGCUUUUGACCACAAAAAUGAACACUAGCUGUCAUUGGAAAGUAUAUAAAAGGUCUUAAUAUUUUUCUGUCUUAUCUUACAUGAAAUGUUUUGAACAUUAUAUGAUUGCCUGUGAUCAAUAGUUUCAAAAAUCCCAGCAGAAUAUUUCAAAAAUAGCAUGAGCAUGCUACUUAUGAC
rnacentral:lncRNA from 1 species